AUACAGAGGGUGCAAGCGUUAAUCGGAUUUACUGGGCGUAAAGCGCGCGUAGGUGGCUAAUUAAGUCAAAUGUGAAAUCCCCGAGCUUAACUUGGGAAUUGCAUUCGAUACUGGUUAGCUAGAGUAUGGGAGAGGAUGGUAGAAUUCCAGGUGUAGCGGUGAAAUGCGUAGAGAUCUGGAGGAAUACCGAUGGCGAAGGCAGCCAUCUGGCCUAAUACUGACACUGAGGUGCGAAAGCAUGGGGAGCAAACAGGAUUAGAUACCCUGGUAGUCCAUGCCGUAAACGAUGUCUACUAGCCGUUGGGGCCCUUGAGGCUUUAGUGGCGCAGCUAACGCGAUAAGUAGACCGCCUGGGGAGUACGGUCGCAAGACUAAAACUCAAAUGAAUUGACGUGG
rnacentral:rRNA from 1 species